AGUCAGGCUGGUAUUGGCGAGGACGCCACAGGGUGGAGUUUCCUCUGCAUUUUUGGCCAUUUCUGGUAGCAGUUUUUACUUUCCUUUCCGUAACAAGGAACAAAGCAACAACAAUGGCGACCGCGGAACAGUGUCUGCUAGAACAAAUGGACCUAGAUGACCAGAUGAUUUAAUUAUGCUGCAAAAUCGAUCGAGAAGGCUGCUGCGUAGGUGGCAUGUGGAACCGAGAGGAACGUUGACUACGUCAUUACAGCAUGUGACUUAAACGGACCAAUCACGAGAGAUGAUGAAUCCAGCAGUCUGGUGACAAAGGUCACUCCGGUUGGCAGAGCAAAGAAGAAAGCAUGUGCAUCAGGCAAAGAGCUACCUCCUACUCUCAUUGGCAGUGCAAAGAGGCUGUGUAUGCAGCAGAGGUUGGGAUCAUUCUGGCUGGCAUCAGGUUGACUGGGAGCCAAACAGCAUCCCCUUUACUGUAACCCUGAGCUCUACCACAGAGCUGCAUUGUGAUGAGCCUAUUGCCUUCUUGGAACCGUUUCUCACAGAUGAGCUGCUCCAACACAUUGUGGACCAGACCAAGCCGUAAGCCCUGGAGUAUUUUGAAGCACACCCCGGCACUCUGCCCCAUUGCAAAAUUACUUGGGCGCAGCCGGAGUCUUUCCCGAUAUCCAAUUUGAAACAUAAGCGUGUACAGACAUAUCAAUAGAAAUCUGAUUUGAAUCGCAUUUCAAACCCAUUCAUCCAUUCAUUUUGUAUACCACUUACUCUGGAGAGCUGGAGCCUAUCCCAGCUGACUCUGGGCAAGAGGUGGACUGGUCGCCAACCAAACACAGGGCAAAUAUAAACAAUCAUUCACACAAUAAGAAAUUAAGAAUUCAAUGCUGUGAUUAUCUUGCCUGCUCUCCUGCCAUUGUUGAGCACAGGCCACUUGGACGGUGUCAUCUAAGUUGUUGAUUCUCUUAAGGGCAUCAAUGGCAUUAAAUUCAAUACCGAAGCCAUCACUGUGUUGGAUGCGCAGAAUGUUGUCCCCAAAUAACAUUUCUGGAAGGGAGGGCAAGUUUAACUCUUCUGUUAAUCUGGAAAGGAAAAGGAAAAGAGAGAAAAAAACCCAUUCCAAAUGAGAAUGCAGGAAAACAUAAAAAAUAAAUAAAUAAUAUAUUUACAGUGACGCCUCGUUCAUCGCAGGGGAUACAUUCCAUACCCCACACAAAUGCUUUAAACACAUUUAAAGACACUUUUCAAACAAAUUGAAAAUUUAUUUCACACACACACACAC